GACGAACGCUGGCGGCGUGCUUAACACAUGCAAGUCGAACGGAAAGGCCCUGCUCUUGUGGGGUGCUCGAGUGGCGAACGGGUGAGUAACACGUGAGUAUCCUGCCCCUGACUUUGGGAUAACUUCACGAGACUGGGGCUAAUAUCGGAUAGGAGCUCCUGCUGCACAGUGGUCGAUGGAAAGUGUCGGCGUUUGGGGAUCGACUCGCUGGUUAUGAGCUUGUUGGUCUGGUAGUUGCGUACCAAGGCUUUGACGGGUAGCCGGCCUGAGAGGGUGACCAGGCACCAUGCGCCUGAGGUACGGCGCAGAAUCGAACCGGAGGCAGCAGUGGGGAGUAUUGCAGAAUGGGCCGAAGCGUGAUGCAGCGACGCCGCGUGCGGGAUGCCGGGCUUCGAGUUAUAAACCGCUUUGGCCUGUGACGAAGCGUGAGUGACGGUACUGGGUCAAGAAGCAACGGCUAACUACGUG
rnacentral:rRNA from 1 species